rnacentral:rRNA from 1 species
CAGCAGCCGCGGUAAUACGUAGGUGGCAAGCGUUGUCCGGAAUUAUUGGGCGUAAAGGGCUCGCAGGCGGUUCCUUAAGUCUGAUGUGAAAGCCCCCGGCUCAACCGGGGAGGGUCAUUGGAAACUGGGAAACUUGAGUGCAGAAGAGGAGAGUGGAAUUCCACGUGUAGCGGUGAAAUGCGUAGAGAUGUGGAGGAACACCAGUGGCGAAGGCGACUCUCUGGUCUGUAACUGACGCUGAGGAGCGAAAGCGUGGGGAGCGAACAGGAUUAGAUACCCGUGUAGUCCCUGUCUCUUAUAC